rnacentral:piRNA from 1 species
UCUGACCUAGUACCAUAGAGUCUAAUAAGAA